UUUCCCUUUGUUUUUUUUCUCCCGCGUGCUUCCCUCUUUCUCCCCCUGCCGAACCCGACGCCUUGCCUUAACCCAUGCGACACUGACGGUUCUUCCUUCCCCUUCCUCUCCGAUUGACGCCAGCCAAGUUUCAGUUUCCCCGUCUCUUUCCCUUUUUCCGGCCGAGCAGCACCGACUCUUCCUCUUCCCUAUCGCGUCGCUGCCUUCCUCCAUUCACUCUCCGCCGCGCCGAUCUCAGAUCGCCAGCUACCCGAGCAACGCGGUCGACCACCAAUGGCUUGAAGCAAGAAGCCGACACUGACAGCUGACACUGCCACUUUCUUCUACCCUAGUUAUUCAGUCGUGCCCUAAUCUCCAGCCGACGCCUCCUCACCGGCAGCCGAAUCCCUAGCCCUCUGCCGUACUUCACUACACCUUCUCUCCUGAUUGUUGUGAGCAGCCAACCUCAACACCUCAUUCCUCUGUUCCCUGUUUCCGCGAGCAACUAGGUUGAGUGUGUAAAUCUCAGACAUCACCGCACUGCAUCCUUUGUCGGGAGUGCAUCGCAGCCAUCGGCGCUAGAACUUGUAGUGUUUUCUUGCCGGCACUCAUAAGGUUGGAGGACAGCAAUGUCAGGUUGUUUCGGCCACAUUAUCCAGCAGUGAUUCUUUCAAUCGAGGGCUGAUAACUUCGAAAAUUUGGACUUUGAUUCGAGACGGUGUCUCGACGAGGAUUUAUUCGGAU